UCAAAUUUCAAUGCAACAUUAAUUAUUAUCUUAUCAAUAAUACCCUUGCAUAUUUAUUGUAGAGAGAGAAAAAAAUAAAAUGAAAUAAUAAAUGAUUAAGGGUAUUAUAGAAAACACACACAUAUUUUCAUCAAAAAUAACAAAAUUUAUUUGGUUUCUUGGUUAGUGCAAUUUCUCCAAAAUGGACAUGUAUUUUGAAACGGAU
rnacentral:lncRNA from 1 species